CAGAUGUAGCAUCUCGCUCAGCACGAUCUGGAUCUCAUAGACUGAUUAACACGAUCUGUGCAGAGUUCCCGAGAAUCAGUGUCCUAUCACUUGAGUUCCUAAUGGGAGGAUCCAUCUGCCUCUGUGGAGAAAAGGAGAGAAGUGGUCCUGAAAUGCCUAAUCGAGUACAUGGGGAGAGACAGGAAGACCUCAUCAGUGUCCUCCACAGUCGUGAUGUGCACGCCGAGCUUGGCGGUUUCCCUUCUCAAAGUUAACAUGUGCCAUCACCCCGACACGAUUGGGAUUAUCACAGAGGGACAGCCCGUGGUCAGAGGUGUUCCAAACCUGUCCAAAGCAUGCUGCCUCCUGUUUGGACUUAACCUAGGCCCUUGACCUCAAGCAUCCUCAAAACUGGUCUGUACGUUUGAGAUAUAUCAGAGGCUCUUUGUGGGACUGGACCCCAUGCGUCCUAAACUAUCAUCCAAGUAUGCAAAUUUGGGAGUUCUUAAAAAUAAUAGUUGUUGAAUAUAUAGAAAAAAAUGUAAAAAAAUUCUCAUUGCAGUUCCAGUGUGAUACAA